rnacentral:rRNA from 1 species
CCGGCACGGGUGAGUAACACGUAUCCAACCUGCCGUCUACUCUUGGACAGCCUUCUGAAAGGAAGAUUAAUACAAGAUGGCAUCAUGAGUCCGCAUGUUCACAUGAUUAAAGGUAUUCCGGUAGACGAUGGGGAUGCGUUCCAUUAGAUAGUAGGCGGGGUAACGGCCCACCUAGUCUUCGAUGGAUAGGGGUUCCGAGAGGAAGGUCCCCCACAUUGGAACUGAGACACGGUCCAA